GUACAAUAAGCUAAGUAAGGGCGUAUGGGGGAUGCCUAGGCUCUCAGAGGCGAAGAAGGACGUGAUAAGCUGCGAAAAGCUGCGGGGAGAGGCACAUACUUUGUGAUCCGCAGAUAUCCGAAUGGGGCAACCCGGCAUGUUGAAGACAUGUCACAUCGUAAGAUGAGCAAACCCGGAGAACUGAAACAUCUAAGUACCCGGAGGAGAAGAAAACAAAAGUGAUUCCGCUAGUAGUGGCGAGCGAACGCGGAAUAGCCCAAACCAAUGUUGUUACGGCAAUAUUGGGGUUGUAGGACCACGCGAUUUGAUGUUUACAGAAUUAGAACUAUUUGGAAAGAUAGACCAUAGAGGGUGAUAGUCCCGUAUAGGUAAAGUAAAUAAUUGAUAGUGGUAUCCUGAGUAGUGCGGGGCACGUGUAACCCUGUAUGAAUCUGGCGGGACCAUCCGCCAAGGCUAAAUACUCCUGAGAGACCGAUAGUGAACUAGUACCGUGAGGGAAAGGUGAAAAGAACCCUGAAUAAGGGAGUGAAAUAGACCCUGAAACCAUACGCUUACAAGCGGUCGGAGCCAUAUUAAUGGUGACGGCGUGCCUUUUGCAUAAUGAGCCUACGAGUUACCGUUGCUAGCGAGGUUAAACACUUCAGGUGUGGAGCCGUAGCGAAAGCGAGUCUGAAUAGGGCGCUAUAGUUAGUAGUGGUAGACGCGAAACCGUGUGAUCUACCCAUGGGCAGGUUGAAGCUGUGGUAACACACAGUGGAGGACCGAACCGGUUGACGUUGAAAAGUCUUCGGAUGACCUGUGGGUAGGGGUGAAAGGCCAAUCAAACUCGGAAAUAGCUCGUACUCCCCGAAAUGCAUUUAGGUGCAGCGUUAAUCAAGUUUUAUAGAGGUAGAGCUACUGAUUGGAUGCGGGGGCUUCACCGCCUACCAAUUCCUGACAAACUCCGAAUGCUAUAAAAUGGUGAUUAGCAGUGAGGGCAUGGGUGCUAAGGUCCAUGUCCGAGAGGGAAAGAACCCGGACCAUCAGCUAAGGUCCCCAAAUAUAUACUAAGUUGAAUAAACGAGGUUUGACUGCACAGACAGCUAGGAUGUUGGCUUGGAAGCAGCCAUUCAUUUAAAGAGUGCGUAACAGCUCACUAGUCGAGCGGUCGAGCAUGGAUAAUAAUCGGGCAUAAGUAUAUUACCGAAGCUAUGGACUUACGUAAGUAAGUGGUAGGGGAGCAUUCUAUAUGCGCAGAAUGUGGUCUGCGAGGACUGCUGGAGCGUAUAGAAAAGAAAAUGUAGGCAUAAGUAACGAUAAUGCGGGCGAGAAACCCGCACACCGAAAGACUAAGGUUUCCUCAGCUAUGCUAAUCAGCUGAGGGUUAGUCGGGACCUAACGCGAACCCGAAAGGGGUAGUGGAUGGACAAGCAGUUAAUAUUCUGCUACCUGCUCACGUUAAAAGUGACGGAGGCGAGAAGUUAGUGCGCACUGACGGAAUAGUGCGUUGAAGGGAACAGUAAUGUCCUGAUAGUACAGUAAGGCUACGGCCGCGCUGAUAAUCUAGCAAAUCGACUUCCAAGAAAACCGAGUGAAGCAGCCCGUACCGUAAACCGACACAGGUAGUUGGGAUGAGAAUUCUAAGGUGCUCGAGAGAUUCAUGGCUAAGGAACUAGGCAAAAUAGACCUGUAACUUCGGGAGAAAGGUCGCCCAUCUUUACGAUGGGCCGCAGUGAAAAGGUCCAGGCGACUGUUUAUCAAAAACAUAGGGCUUUGCUAAAUCGAAAGAUGAUGUAUAAGGCCUGACACCUGCCCGGUGCUGGAAGGUUAAGAGGAGGGUUUAGCUUUGGCGAAGAUCUGAAUUGAAGCCCCAGUAAACGGCGGCCGUAACUAUAACGGUCCUAAGGUAGCGAAAUUCCUUGUCGGGUAAGUUCCGACCUGCACGAAUGGUGCAACGAUCUGGACACUGUCUCAGCCAUGAGCUCGGUGAAAUUGUAGUAUCGGUGAAGAUGCCGAUUACCCGCAGCGGGACGAAAAGACCCCGUGAACCUUUACUAUAGCUUCGUAUUGACUUUGGAUAAGUAAUGUGUAGGAUAGGUGGGAGACUAUGAAAUGCAAUCGCUAGGUUGUGUGGAGUCGUUGUUGAAAUACCACCCUUUGCUUAUUUGAAGCCUAACUUCUUACAGAAGGACAGUGCGUGGUGGGUAGUUUGACUGGGGUGGUCGCCUCCAAAAGAGUAACGGAGGCUUCUAAAGGUACCCUCAGCACGCUUGGUAACCGUGCGUAGAGUGCAAUGGCAUAAGGGUGCUUGACUGAGAGAGAUACAGCUCGAUCAGGUUGGAAACAAGAGCAUAGUGAUCCGGUGGUUCCGCAUGGAAGGGCCAUCGCUCAAAGGAUAAAAGGUACUCCGGGGAUAACAGGCUGAUCUCCCCCAAGAGCUCACAUCGACGGGGGGGUUUGGCACCUCGAUGUCGGCUCGUCACAUCCUGGGGCUGGAGAAGGUCCCAAGGGUUGGGCUGUUCGCCCAUUAAAGUGGCACGCGAGCUGGGUUCAGAACGUCGUGAGACAGUUCGGUCUCUAUCUGCUGUGGGCGUUAGAAAUUUGCGUGGAUCUGACUCUAGUACGAGAGGACCGAGUUGGACUAACCUCUGGUGUAUCUGUUGUUCCGCCAGGAGCAUUGCAGAGUAGCUACGUUGGGAAGGGAUAAGCGCUGAAAGCAUAUAAGCGCGAAACCCACCACAAGAUGAGAUUUCUUUAAAGGGUCGUGGGAGAUGACCACGUUGAUAGGCUACAGGUGUAAAGGCAGUAAUGUCAUAGCCGAGUAGUACUAAUUACCCGUAGGCUUAUGUAC
rnacentral:rRNA from 1 species